rnacentral:misc_RNA from 1 species
UACGUAGGUGGCAAGCGUUGUCCGGAAUUAUUGGGCGUAAAGCGCGCGCAGGCGGUCUUUUAAGUCUGCUGUGAAAGCCCCCGGCUCAACCGGGGAGGGUCAUUGGAAACUGGGAGACUUGGGUACAGAAGAGGAGAGUGGAAUUCCACGGGUAGCGGUGAAAUGCGUAGAUAUGUGGAGGAACACCAGUGGCGAAGGCGACUCUCUGGGCUGUAACUGACGGUGAGGCGCGAAAGCUUGGGGAGCAAACAGG